GAUGUUUUUUGCUCCAUAAAUAUCAGCAGAGUUACUGUAGAAGUUGCUGGCCUAGAUAGCUACUGUAGAAGUGGCUGGCCUAGAUAGCUACUGUAAGCUUCUCUGGAUGUUUUGAAUUUGUUUCCUUCCAAUGAACGAGAAGAAUGGGGCUUCGCCAAAAAAGUAGUCUCUAAUCUACAUAAUAGCACACUACUUAGAUUGAACCAAUGUAUUGGGAAUGCUAACGUGUUAUGCUAGCAUGGACACUGGAAAUAGCUAGUGUGUAGCACAUGUACAGGACUAAAUGAUUGCACUCAUUCAUUCUCUCAAGUGUAGUCUAUGGUCAGCCUUGAUACAUUAACCACCCUUAGUUUGGCUAAUGUAUCAGAGUGGAAUGAAGGCCGAAAGAUCCCUAAAGUGAAGUUGCUCUAAGAGACGAGAAUUUUGCCACAGAUGCUUUUCAAACUCUUCCCUCCAGCCAGUCACAAGUCCACCAGAGGGAGCACAACAAAAGGUUGGAGAGUGCAGAUCUCCACUUUCCAGGGUUCAACUCUGUUGACCAUAAUCCUAGUGACAAGCAACACAAGGGAGUCAAGCUCAGCCCAGAUCAAUCUUUUGGCCAGCUGCUCCAGUGCAUCAUGGGACUCUGGCUCCCUAUUGAUGUGGAUCCCCAAUCCCCAACACAUCCUUCAGAGCCACGCCCAAAAUAGGCAUUAAACUUGGCAGAUAUGCAGAUUUGUGUCAACUUGCCUUUUUGUACACAUGCCUAAACUGUCAAGGAGCUAAUUUGCCUUCUGUCCUGAAAAACCUCCAAAGUGGUGAGUACCAUAUAUUCACUGGUUUCAUAAAUUGUAUGUGGCAGGUUAUUUAUCUUUGUAUUACAUUAUUGUCAAUGAAAACACAUUGUUUACCAGUUACAUUUACUCAUCUAUAUUGUGUGUUAUAGAACAGAAAGAAGUCCAAGAAUGUGUGGAAGAGGGUGCUGUUCCAGCUGACACCAUUGACGUCACAGCUGAGAAGUGAGCAUGGGUUGGGCUCCCUAGUGGCACAGCAAGCUGUCCACCCAAAAGACCUUGUCCUGGCCAAGCCUCACACUGACCCCCAGAGGGUGGAGGAGGAUGCUGGUAGGGCCCAGGCCCAGAACCAGGAGCUCCUGUCAUUGUAGGCUAGCCCAGAGGCCCAGACCCAGGCCCAAACAUGCCCCCCCCCCCCCAGCACCCAGGGUCCCCAGUGCUUACCUCCUCAGGAACAAGCCUCUGGUGUUCCACAGUGUUAGGGAGAGGGUGCUGAGGUGACACACCCAGCAGGAUCGCUCAACAUACAAACUGGACAGCAAGGUCACUCAUACUGUCAUAGUACUGCCCCAUGGCAUUCUUUUGUAUCUCGAAGUAUGGCUGACCUAUGAUCUGACUGGUCAUUAAAAGGGGUGUCUCCAUUGCUCUCUGAGUGCAAUGGAAUGCGUAGAGUACAUGUAACUAACAGGCGUGAAACCUGCUGCUGCCUCUCAGUUCUUAUUCAUCAGGCUUGUUGAGAGAUGGGAAAAACCCUGAUUUGGCUCCACAUGUCUAGCAAUGAGGGAGAGUCACGGGAGAGUGAAACUGGGCAUUGGUUCUGAAGAUGCGGGCCCUGAUAGCUCCUAUUACAGUGAGCUUUUCUGCCUAGUUUUAUAACUGUUUAUUUUCUGUUUUCCAACAUCUCAUGUAGAGAGUGGUCAGUGGUCACGUACUUCCUUGAUUAUCCAUGCUUUAGGAAGAAUGUAAGAUUUUUUUUGUUUUUUUGUUACAGCUGUUCAUAAACAAAUGAAUUACAGAAUGUCAACUUAACUGAAUGUUUUCAAAAUAUACUGUCUAGGAUGUAUGCUUCUUGUGGACAACACUUGUCUAUCGUAAUGUCCUGUUGGUGUGUGUAACGAGGAGAGGAACUGCUAUGUCAUAGGAUUUAGUUUAGUCAAUGAAAAUAAACAAAUGUUUGUAGUGUUCCACUUGAAUAAGGUAAUUCUGGUAACCCAUGUUUUGUUUGAGAAUAAUAGAAGAAAAGGAAACACACUUAUGUCUUCAUAGCUCUUACACUAGACUGGAGGGGAUGGCAUUGACUGGGAUAGGUCGGUCUUCUCAGACUAUCUGUGGAGAAAGCACAACCUUCCGCCCAACUGGGACAGAGAAAAGCCAUCGAUCCCCAGAAGACACAACUGUGGGAUGGCUUUGGCUUCUACCCCAUCCCUAAGGCCAUGCUCCAUCACCACCCCAGGAUCCCUCUGUCCGUAGGUAACACUGGAGCUCUAGGCUGCAUAUGCAUGCAGGCCAGGAGGCUUUGCUAUGCUGUCACAGAGAUGCUUACCGAUUUGUAGAUCUGACAAUGAAUGGAUUAAGUUGAUCAAAGAUUAGCUCGUUUGUAACAAACAUAUAAAUACAUUCAGCAUGAACCAAUCAAGGUUUAUCCUUGCAUGUCCUCUAAGCACCAUCGUGCCUUACAAUUCCAUGAUUUUCCUUCAGGACACAGCUUCGACAGAUGUGGUCAGUAUAUCAUGUGGCAGACCAGGGGGUUAGGUCAAAACGUUUACACAGAUCAGACACGGACAGAGUAGGAUUAGCUCAGUUUCAAAGGUGUUUAUUAAAAUAAUAGUCCAAAC
rnacentral:lncRNA from 13 species